rnacentral:rRNA from 1 species
GCGGUAGCCUACGUAGUAUGUGCCUGCGGAGGAUCAUUA